rnacentral:rRNA from 1 species
GGGNAANUUNCGGCNGCUUACCAUGCAGUCGAACGAUGAACCUCACUUGUGGGGGGAUUAGUGGCGAACGGGUGAGUAACACGUGAGUAACCUGCCCUUGACUCUGGGAUAAGCCUGGGAAACCGGGUCUAAUACUGGAUACGACCUUCUGGCGCAUGCCAUGUUGGUGGAAAGCUUUUGUGGUUUUGGAUGGACUCGCGGCCUAUCAGCUUGUUGGUGGGGUAAUGGCCUACCAAGGCGACGACGGGUAGCCGGCCUGAGAGGGUGACCGGCCACACUGGGACUGAGACACGGCCCAGACUCCUACGGGAGGCAGCAGUGGGGAAUAUUGCACAAUGGGCGCAAGCCUGAUGCAGCGACGCCGCGUGAGGGAUGAAGGCCUUCGGGUUGUAAACCUCUUUCAGUAGGGAAGAAGCCGGCCCUUGGGUUGGUGACGGUACCUGCAGAAGAAGCGCCGGCUAACUACGUGCCAGCAGCCGCGGUAAUACGUAGGGCGCAAGCGUUAUCCGGAAUUAUUGGGCGUAAAGAGCUCGUAGGCGGUUUGUCGCGUCUGCCGUGAAAGUCCGGGGCUUAACUCCGGAUCUGCGGUGGGUACGGGCAGACUAGAGUGCAGUAGGGGAGACUGGAAUUCCUGGUGUAGCGGUGAAAUGCGCAGAUAUCAGGAGGAACACCGAUGGCGAAGGCAGGUCUCUGGGCUGUAACUGACGCUGAGGAGCGAAAGCAUGGGGAGCGAACAGGAUUAGAUACCCUGGUAGUCCAUGCCGUAAACGUUGGGCACUAGGUGUGGGGGACAUUCCACGUUUUCCGCGCCGUAGCUAACGCAUUAAGUGCCCCGCCUGGGGAGUACGGCCGCAAGGCUAAAACUCAAAGGAAUUGACGGGGGCCCGCACAAGCGGCGGAGCAUGCGGAUUAAUUCGAUGCAACGCGAAGAACCCUUACCAAGGCUUGAC